CUCUGAGCUCACUCUGGCACUCCUAGAUUGAAUUUACGAACACGAUUGAAUUUUUUUGUUGCAUUUCUUAAUUUAUUAUGGGGGGUUUUGACUAAUCUAGGGUUUGGUUACUAUAUCCUGUGGUCUUGACUCUGAGUGCAAGAUAGCCUUUUGACUUGAUAGGUAGCUAGGUGACUGGUGAAGCUUUUUGUUUAAUCAGUUUGGAAGUAUUCCACCAAGGACUGCACGCUGUGUCCAGAGGUAGCAGAGGAAGUUCAGGGACUGUUCAGGUAAUGCUCUUAACCACGUGGUGGCUUAGGUAGUCGUGGCAUCACCCUGGUGGGUGCUACAUUCCUGGCAAUGGAGGACCAGUAGCAGAGGAGCGGCUCCAAUGGGGUGAGUGACCAUUCAGAGAAGCGUGGUGUGCUAUUGAAGAGCUCCGGGCCUGUUUUUUUUUUCUGGACUGUUUUUGUUUCUCCUUGGCUGUCCAAUCGAUGCCCCCACGCUGAACCUACAUUAAACCUCCACUGGGAGACAGAUGACAUUUGUGAUGGGUGUGUUUGUGACCAACCGGCCCCCAAACCUCCAUGCUCCCCCAGGACACCCCACACACACCAGAUAUUUCAGGAUGUCGAGUUGUUCUCUGGUGACCUGCUAGAUGACUUGAAAAACAGUACGGGGAGUUUCAGAGAGAGUUCAACAGAUAAAGCUGAUCCUGUCAUGAUGAGAGAUAUGGGCCACAGAAGGUGUCGAAGAGCCUUUGGAUUGUAAACACAGAAGAACUUCAACUCAGGAUCAGAUAAGGACUACAUCUCUAAUCCAUUUACCCAGAACUGCUGAGUCUUGCAGUGAAAGAGAAAGCUGCUCAUCUGACACAAAGUAGGUUAACCUACUAAUGAACCGCAAUUGGGUUCUCAAAUGUCAUUUUUCAUGAAAUGUCCUGUUGGAUCACUGAUAUUAGGAUCUGUACUGUUUUACCGCACCAGUCCAGAAAAGUUACAAACAAGAAAUGCCUGAGUUAAACAUAACACUGAAAAUGUAAAAAGUAAAUUAUUAUAAAAUGAAAUCAGACUUUUUCCCAAUUAAAGCUUUUUUUGCCGUUUUGGUAAUGAGAAUGCGAAGGAAAGGGGUUGUUUGAGAAUAAGAACCUCAUUCUGAAGGCUUAUAAGCAAAUAAAUUAACAUAACUUCUAUUAUUCCUCUAGAUGCAUCAUGGGUGAAUAAAUAUUUUCUUAAAAAUCGAUUGGAGUUUUUGCAGCAACUUGAAAAAGUGUUAGGGUAAUGACACAUGUCCACAGACACUGUUGGUUCGUAAUAAAUAUUAUGGUUUAAUGUUAACUUCAGCUAGUAUACCAUUGUCAUGAUUUAUGGACAAGCUACAGCAAAAUGAUGUGUUUUAUUAGAAUAUGUUAGGUUUUUCUAAAGUAAAAUUGUCAAAAAUUACCAGAGAUUAUUUUUGGGGCGUUAAAUUUUAAGCAUUUGUUUUUCACGACCGAACCCAUGCUAUUCUGAAAUUUUAAUAAUAAACCAUUAGAUUUUUCCUUUGGGUUAAUGAUGGUGUAUUGAUUGAUUUUCUUUUUAGUAUACGUUUUUUCAAGAUGAGUGAUGAGAAGAGAAUCGUCCAGCCCAUUGGGUAUCUCACUACACCCCCAUAUGACAUGUCUUGAAAUGUUCAGACAGACGGAUUAAAAGUAAGUUUACAUUGUAAUGCUUCUGACAGCUUUCUAGCUCCACCCACGACUUAAUUCGUUGUACUCUUAGGACUUGGCCGUUGUGCUGUAGAAUUUUUGAAUUUUGUCUCUUGUAUAAUAAAUUCUAUACAUUAGUUAUUUACUGGAUUAAGUGUACAUUUUUGUUGACUGUAAUUUUG
ensembl:lncRNA